rnacentral:lncRNA from 1 species
AAGCACCCAAGAGAGAAAAUGACUGCCCGGGCACACAAAGAAUGGCAGAAUUCAGUCUAGAACCUAUUUUUAUUUACUCCAACUUAGGUCUCUCCUCAAUAGAACCUCUUUUCAAAUUGAUCUUGCCUCCAAUGAAAGAGACAAGAAUACAAUCAUAUCUACGCUACCCAGCUGUCUCUGAUUCUCUGCUCCAAGAAAAAAAAUUAGCAGGGUUUGAGUAUGGGAUGAGCUUUUCCCCUUUUAUGCCCAGGUUAGAAAGACACAGGACUAGAGCCUGGCCCCUUGGCUGGAGCAGAGAGACUCCCAUAUUUACAGAGAUACUCUUACUAUGCAGACAUUUCAGGACCUUGGACAGGGCCCGCGGCCAUGCUGGUUCUAAGGACUCUGUCAACUGUGGGAUCUUCCACGAUGGAAUCAAAGAUGCUUCUGAGGGAUUGGCCAACAAGGUGGUGCCUACACCAUUUGGUUUUGUGGAUACCCAGAUAAUCCGUUAGGAUGGAGAGUUACCGUUCAAGACAAGAUGUGAACAUUUGGCAGACCGUGUGAUAUACAGCUCAGUAAUAAAGGCACUUACAAUC